CAGCAGAAAAAGUCAAUGCUCGGAUGCAGAUGGCUCAGGAAGAUGGCUUCCCUUUGAUAACGGACAGUGUACCAAGAUCAAUACCAUUUCACCAUCAAACACACCUCUAGCCAGACCUACACAGGUGAACCUAUCUGUAAGCCUGCUACCCCCAGGCCAGACCUACCAGUGUGUAUUUGAUACCACAGCUGUCAGUGCAACAGUUACUGGGGGGAACUUGGUGACAUGUGACACACCCACCAGCUUGCCUACUAUACCAACUGGGGACGAUCACAUCACAAUACCAUUAUCUAUCAAAUCAUUAGCGACAGGAGUCAAGUUUCUAACGACCAACUUCACAUAUUUUGACUGCGGCGCACACUCAGGGUGUGUGUCUUGUACCAGCAGUAGUUGGGCCUGUGACUGGUGUAUAUAUGCUAA
rnacentral:lncRNA from 1 species